CAAACCUAAACUAGAAAGUGUUGCGGAUCGUGGGCACACCAGGGGACACUCACAAGCAAAAACACAAGAGUUUUAACGUGGUUCGGCAAACCGGCCUACGUCCACGGGAGCGAUGUUGUUAUAUAUCAACAAAUGGAGGAGAUUACACACUCUCAACUCACUGUCUCUC